GCUCACCUGAGGGGGAGGGGGCAGGGGACAGGCUCACACCCUGAAGGGGAGGGAGAGGGGACAGGCUCACCCUGAAGGGGAGGGAGAGGGGACAGGCUCACCCUGAAGGGGAGGGAGAGGGGACAGGCUCACCCUGAAGGGGAGGGAGGGGGCACAGGCUCACCCUGAAGGGGAGGGAGAAGGGACAGGCUCACCCUGACGGGGAGAUACACGCAGGGCCCAGACCUGAGGGCAGCAGGUGAGGGGCCGGGAAGGGAGCUAGCGACAGGAGAAGGCGAAGACCUGCGUCCUGUUUCUGCAGUGGGUUGAUCAGUGCCCCGCCCCCCGGGAACUGGAGCUGUCUGUCACUAGCCUGCACGUCUCAGACCCUGAAAGCUCCAUUCCCAGUCCUUAGUGAUCCUCUCCUGGUGAUGCCAGGUCCGUUACCGGGCACCUUCCUGGGGUGACAGUACGCUGCUCCAGCCCCUCCAGGGUUUCAGACACAGUCAGAAGUCAAGAAGCAGCGAAAUUCUGCAGCAGUAGGGGGAGAAUUGUUUUUUUCUAAGGGAAAUGAAUAUAGUUUUCAGGACGUAGACAAGGGUCUUUGGCUGGCGUUGGUAACUCGCGUGGUUCGUUCCCCGGCCCUCUCCCUUGUCUGUGUACUUUCCUUCAGGAAGCAGCGUUGCCAAGCCCUGUGCUGGGGAGCUGAUCCCGACCCUGAAGGAGCCCAGACCACGGAGAGAGAGAAGUAGCCACGAACGGAACUGAAGACAGUUCAUAACGCUGUGAUAGAGGACGACGGACACCUUGCUGUGGGGCCACUUAAAAUGUAUUCUUUAAAAACAUCAGUCAACAUUUCACUUUGCUCAAAACCCUGUAAAGGAUUUCCGUUUCACUCAGUGAGAGCCAAAGUUCUUCCAAUGGAAAAGUCCCUACACGGUCUGGCUUCCUCCUCCUCCUGUUAUGGAACCGAAGUGAGUUCUCUCCUGAUGAUUGGCCCCAGAAAUACCGCUACUGCCUUCCCACCUUUGCGCCUCAGUAAUUCAACCCACUGAGCCCAUCAUCUAUACAGGAGAUACCCGCCCCCCAUACAGGACUUUAACGCCAGCAGCCACACCAUUGUGGUGUUAAGACCAUGGCGGGACAUUGCCAAUGAAACGUCCGCAAAACGGGGAGGAAGAUCAUGGAGGAGGCAGGGGCAGGGAGAAAAGUGGGAAGGCCAUUUAGCAGAAAAGCAAAAAUAUCUGUCAUUGAGAAUUUUGGAAUGUUUGUGCUGGAGGCAGAGAGGAGGAAAAUGUAAAAAGUCUGAAAAAAAAAAAAAGCCGCCGUCUGUCUGGGGCACCAGCACGCAGUCAUUCGAGACCACAGAGUGACACCUAGUGGACACCUGGGAAGAUGCUUCCUGCAGGGGAGCUCGGCGCCGCCCGCCCAAGUGGUUUCGUAGAGCUGGGGAUGCCGAGCGCAGGAAGGACCCGGGCCCGGUGCUCGCCGCUCGGAGCUGCCCCCGAUCCGCCCUGGGAGGACGCCCGGGGAGAGUGCUGUGCCGGGACUCCGGAGUCCAGUCCUGGCCCAGAUGCCAGCUGGGAGACCUCGCACGGGAAACUGUGUCUGUCGGGAAGCGGGGAGAGGCUCUUCCCUCGGCUCCACCGCUCUGGAUUCCCCCCUCUGCCAGCCCCCAGCCCCGCUCCGCACAGCCCCUGCCUCCGCUGUUCUGCCCGCCCUCCUUGGGGGACUGCGGUGAGCUCGGAGGACGGGCAAACUCCUGCGAGCAGAAGGCCCACCUUUCAAGUUUUCAUAUUACCUCCAACGCAAGGCUGAAUCCGAUCACCGAUGCCAAGCUACGGGCACAGUGCUUUGCUGGCGGUGAGCGCUCUAAGAAAGCUCUGUCGGAGGAAAGAGUCCUGGAUCUUGAGUCAGGAUUCCAGCCCCGUGUAAACACAAGCACCUCGGGAACUGGAGCCGAGGAGUUCUUCUAGAAAGUUCUAGACUGUUCCUUAGUCAAAAUUAGCCCCUUUACAAUUUUACCCCAUUUGUCCUUGUUCAGCCUUCUGAAGCGGUUCAGAAUAACUAUUUUUAUGCGACGCCUGCAAACACCUUUUAUGCUCCCUGUAAAUAUUGCCAUUUUGGGCUAAAUGUGCUCAACUUCAUUCUUUACAGCAGUGGUUCUCAAACAAGGAUUUUGCCCCUGAGGGCACAUGUGGCAGUGUCUGGAGACCUUUCGGUUGUCACACCUUGAGGAGGGAGGCUGCUACUGACAUCUAGUGGGCAGAGGCCUAGAUGCAGCCAACCUCCUGCAGGGCUCCCGGCGGGCCCCACCCCCACCACGCACACAAAGAACUAUCCAUUGCAGAAUGCACGCGUGCUGAGGUCGUGGAGCCCUGCUUGAGACAGCUGGGACUUCUUAGCAUCCCCGUCCAUUCUGCGGACGCUCUUCAUUCAUCGGCGACGUUUGUACCGCGAUGUGGUACAGAACUCCAGACCAGCUCUGACCAGCCUGGGCAUCUUGGGGUGUACACACGGGACGUCCCUCAGUGGAGCGUAGAGAUUAGAUCAACCCUCCAAGCAAUCUUUUGCUCAUAUGGCGAGUCUGUCCUUACUGUUUACGAACAAAGAACUUAUGGACAAACGUGCGUACAAUUAAAUAAAAGAUAUACA
rnacentral:lncRNA from 1 species